rnacentral:rRNA from 1 species
CCUACGGGUGGCUGCAGUAAGGAAUAUUGGUCAAUGGACGAAAGUCUGAACCAGCCAUGCCGCGUGGAGGAUGAAGGUCCUCUGGAUUGUAAACUUCUUUUAUAUGGGACGAAAAAAGGCCUUUCCUGGUCGUCUGACGGUACCAUAUGAAUAAGCACCGGCUAACUCCGUGCCAGCAGCCGCGGUAAUACGGAGGGUGCAAGCGUUAUCCGGAUUCACUGGGUUUAAGGUGGGCGUAUGUGGGAUUGUAGAAAUCCCCGGGCUUAACCUGGGAACUGCCAUUGAUACUAUCAGUCUUGAAUACCGUGGAGGUCAGCGGAAUAUGUCAUGUAGCGGUGAAAUGCUUAGAUAUGACAUAGAACACCAAUUGCGAAGGCAGCUGGCUACACGAGUAUUGACACUGAGGCACGAAAGCGUGGGGAUCAAACAGGAUUAGAUACCCGAGUAGUC